rnacentral:rRNA from 1 species
GACAAAGACUGACGCUCAGAUGCGAAAGCGUGGGUAGCAAACAGGAUUAGAUACCCUGGUAGUCCACGCCGUAAACGCUGUCUACCUGGAGGUUGAGGUUUUAGACUUUGGCUUUCGGCGCUAACGCAUUAAGUAGACCGCCUGGGGAGUACGGCCGCAAGGUUAAAACUCAAAUGAAUUGACGGGGGCCCGCACAAGCGGUGGAGCAUGUGGUUUAAUUCGAUGCAACGCGAAGAACCUUACCUACUCUUGACAUCCAGCGAAGCCUUUAGAGAUAGAGGCGUGCCUUCGGGAGCGCUGAGACAGGUGCUGCAUGGCUGUCGUCAGCUCGUGUUGUGAAAUGUUGGGUUAAGUCCCGCAACGAGCGCAACCCUUAUCCUUGUUUGCCAGCACGUAAUGGUGGGAACUCCAGGGAGACUGCCGGUGAUAAACCGGAGGAAGGUGGGGACGACGUCAAGUCAUCAUGGCCCUUACGAGUAGGGCUACACACGUGCUACAAUGGCAGAUACAGAGGGCAGCGAGACAGCGAUGUUUAGCGAAUCCCUUAAAGUUUGUCGUAGUCCGGAUUGGAGUCUGCAACUCGACUCCAUGAAGUCGGAAUCGCUAGUAAUCGUGGAUCAGAAUGCCACGGUGAAUACGUUCCCGGGCCUUGCUACACACCGCCCGU